UAAACGACUCUCGGCAACGGAUAUCUCGGCUCUCGCAUCGAUGAAGAACGCAGCGAAAUGCGAUACUUGGUGUGAAUUGCAGAAUCCCGUGAACCAUCGAGUCUUUGAACGCAAGUUGCGCCCGAAGCCAUUAGGCUGAGGGCACGUCUGCCUGGGCGU
rnacentral:rRNA from 1 species